GCUGGAUUAACCCUCAGUGUAAAAAUAGUUUCUCUGAAACUGUUUUCAGCUGCAGGGUUAAAACUAGAGGGACCUGGCACCCAGACCACUUCAUUAAGCUGAAGUAGUCUGGGUACCUAUAGUGGUCCUUUAACUUCUGUGGUUGGGACAGUAUUUGAAAGGUUAUUAAGGGGUAAUAUUAAAUAAUUCAUUGAGAAGAACAUGGUUAUCAGCAAAAAAAUCAGCAUGGUUUUAUGAAGCAUAGGUUAUGUCAAACUAACUUAAUUGCCUUCGAAGAAGUAAGUAGAAGUAUAGAUCAGGGUGUUGCAGUGGAUUUUAUCUAUUUGGAUUUUGUCAAGGUGUUUUAUAACUCAAAUUGGUCUAGAUGGAAAUUCUUGUUUUUGGGUAGAACAUUGGCUUAAACAUAGAGUACAAAGAGUUGUCAUUAAUGGUAAAUUGUCAAGCUGGACAGAGGUAGCAAGUG